rnacentral:lncRNA from 1 species
GUCACGGGGCGCGCGCUGAUGCGAACGGGGUGACAGAUGGGAACGCCUCCGAGACCGCCAGCGACGACCCCGCUCGGGCAGCCCCGGAUUUCCUCGGCUGCACCGGCGCCGGCAGCGGGGACCGAGGCCCGCGUCCGUUCGGGUCGGGCCGGGGCUUAGCCCCGCGCCCCACGGGCGGCCGGGACCCCACCCGGACCCCGCCGCGGUUCUGGGCCGCCGGAGCCUCGCGCCGCCUCUCGGGGACCUUGUCCCCUGGCCUCCGGCCUCUCGGGCCCCUCGCCUGCCGUCUAGGAGGGAAGGGGCCUUGGAUCUGUGCCCCGCCCAUGGAACAGCGCCCGGGCUCGGAGAGGCCCCGCGAGGCCGCAGGCGCAGACCCUCCCGGAGGGCUGGGCGGGCACCGGGGUCUUCGGCUGGCUUGAGGGACCCGACCCCUGGGGGAGGAAUUUGGGGUCUGUGUGUCCGAAUGAACGCGGGGGUUCAGAUGAGUCUGUGGUGCCCCCGCUUUCCAUCUCCUCCGGCCCCGGCCCCAGAGGACUGUCUGAGAGGCCGGUGGCCGCGGAUCCUGGACGCGCCUCCCUCCUGCCUGUGGUUUCCCUUUAUUCCGGCAGCGGCGCGAGCCCACCCUUCACAUACAGGAGCUACAUCCAGAAGCUUCUCCUGGGGCCACAGCGUGGGCUUCCGAGACUCUGCGUGACCCCAGCUCUGCCCCUUUGGGGCUGCGGGUGAAGCCCUCAGGACCCUCCGCGUGCGUUGGGCAGGUGCACACAUUGUCUGCCCAGAGAGGGCCAAGAUGCCCCAGGCACCCCUUCGCUCCGGGGGCUCAGGACACAGGCUCCCAGCUGAGGCCACGCCUGGACCCAGAGCUGAUGUUUGGCUGCACGCGAGCCCACUCGGGACAGACCCAAGAACACGAAUUCUCUCCCUUUGGAUUUAAGGCUGGUGUUUUUUGACAUUUACUUCAGUUUUUCUCUCUGAAAUUAAAAUUACCUGAGUAAAAGAUUUUAAGACAUUAAAAAAGCCAAAAACACAGAAUCCCUGCAGGCAGACGGUGCCAGGGAGGUGGCGGCCAGGGCCAGGAUGCCAGGGGCACGGUGGGGUCGGCUGGAGCUCCAGGGCUGGGCCUUUCCCAGUCUCGCCUGCCCUGGAGCCCCCAGGAGCCGCCCCUGGGCCGACGCUCCUGUGGCCGGAGCACAGGAAGGCACAGUGAGGUAGGGACAGUGGCCAUUGUCCCCCGCCUGCCACCAGGGCUGAGAGGGCAGCGCACGCCUCGGCCCCUCCUAUAAGCCCCUGCCCCCUCGGAGCUGGGUGUCUUGUCCAGAAGCUGGGGAACGGCCCCUGCAGUGUGGGAGGGGAGGGGCUGCCGGGAGGCCUGAGCUCAGACAGUUAAAUAAUCCUUUAUUUGGGUGGGCUGGGGGAGGGGUGACUGGCCCAGGAGGGCAGGCGAGGCCGGGCCCAGACCCCCAUGGGGGGUGGCAGGGGCCUCGGGCGGGCUAGGAUGCACCUGGCACCCAGAAGUGCCGCGGGGGCACUGGCUCCUCAGGGGCCCGAGCGGGCGGGGAGCAGUCUCCUACUUGUGCCGGGCCUCGGUCACCCUCUGCAGGCAGUACUGCGCGGCGGGCAGCGACAGGACCAGGCUCGCGGUGCGGCGGCCCAUCCAGUACAGGCUGUAGCCCAGCAGGCCGAAGAAGGCGGCCUUCACGGCCAACCGAGACACUCUGCCGGAGACGGACGGCGGGGGCACGCUGUGGGAGGGAGGGGGCGCUGGGCCUGGCUGGGGGUGGGCUCCCCAUACCCCAGCCCCCAUGCCUGGGUCACUGCCGCAUGUGGUUGGCCUCCAGGGCGCUCAGCCUCCACCUGGGGGCUUGUGGGGUGGGGCUUGCAGGGAGGGGCGGGCACUCACGUCAUGAUCUCCUGGAUGUUGAGGUCGGUGCUCCAGUUCUUCUCGAUGCCAGGCACGUGGCCCAUGCCCACGACGCCCACGACCACGGAGGGGACGCACUUCCUGGGCUCGGCUGUGGGGAAGGACAAGGGGUCAGUACCUGCUCGGGCCUCAGCCUCACAGGGGGUCCCACGCCUGCGGGCGGCCGUCACCGUCAGAGGCCCGAGGCAGCUCGAGGCGCCGCGCGGCCUGGCGCAGCAUGUAGGUUAGGUAGACGUCGCGCUCCGAGACGAUGGUGCGGUGCAGGUCUGGGAACUCGCCAAUCAUCUCGGCCAUCAUCUGCUCCAGUAGGUCCUUCUGCUUGCAGCGUUCCACGUCAUCCUUGCUGUGGAGAGGGAUGGCUGCAGCCCCGCAGGGAUGGGCAACGGGCUGGGGGGGUGGGGCUGGCACUGUGGACACCGGGCAGGGACCACAGCACGUUUGUUUGGGAUUUGUGGCGGAAGGAAAGGGCAGGGAAGGCCUUGAGUGAGGAUUGGCUGCGCUUGGACCUGCACAGGAGGGCCUGGAGCCUCCCACAGACCACCCUGCAGGCCGGCCAGGGUCCCGGGGGCAGCCCUACCUGAUGGGGUCUGACAGGAAGCACAGGCCCCAAGCCAGCCUGACCUUCUGCCAGAAGGAGAGCGCUGCGAUGGCCCUCUUGAAGGUGACGGGGAUGGGUCGGUCACCCAGGUGGAACUUGCAGAAAGGCACCUUGCUGGCCUGGAGCAGAGGCUGGGUGUUGGGGAGCAGUGGGAACCCCGGACCACCCCUGUGAGCCACAUCCCUGUGGCCACCCCCUACCUCACCCUGUGCCCACCUCCUUGAAGGCCUCCCUGAACUCGCCACCUGGGGCCAUGCCCAGCUGCUCGGUGAUGUGUGCAGACACCUUCAGCAGCAGCAUCUGCAUCAGCCCCGACAUGAGCCCGUUCUGCAGAGAGAGGGAGCAGGCAUCAGCUGGAGGGGCGGGUGCGGGGGUGCGCUGGGGGAAUGGCAGAACUGGGAUGGCAGGCAGCACCAGCGCAGAGCCCUGCCCCAGCCCAGUGCUGUGUCCUUGGCCCCCUCCCCGACAGGUGCAGGACCACCCUAGCGUGCAGAGGGUCAGACCAGAGCAGGGAGUUCUGUCCCAACAGGCACUUCUCAAAGGUAGCUCCCUUCAGAAAAGACCUUCACGGGCCGGGUGCAGUGGCGCACGCCUGUCAUCCCAGCACUUUGGGAGGCUGAGGCAGGCGGAUCACGAGGUCAGGAGUUCUCUCUCAGACCAGCCUGGCCAACAUGGCGAAACCCCAUCUCUACUAAAAAUAUAAAAAUUAGCCGGGUGUGCUGGCGGGUGCCUGUAAUCCCAGCUACUCGGGAGGCUGAGGCAGGAGAAUCACUUGAACCCCGGAGGCAGAGGUUGCAGUGAGCCGAGAUCACCAGCCUGGGUGACAGAGUGAGACUGCUCUGUCUCAAAAAAAAAAAAAGAAGAAGAAAAGGCCUUUAUGAGGCAGUCUCGUUCUGCGAAGGGGCCGCCUUGAGCUGGCACAGACGCUGGGUGCUGGGCAGGCAGGCUGGAGAAAGGGCCUCACCACUCACACCUGCCUGCUGAGGUCAGCACAGCACUGCUGGUGCGGACACCAGGCCACCCCCAUCUUCAGCAGCUACAGCCCGAGGCCUAUUGCCCCUGUCUCACCGGCCGGCUGGCACCACGGGGGUGUCCACGUGUGAAGGAGAUGAUGCCCACAGAAGGGCAGCAAAGCCCCGGGGGCCACACAGCGCCGGGCAAUCGCUCACACCUGCACGCGCCCAGGGACGGUCUGGGCCUGAGCCAUGAGCCCUGGGAAUGUCCCGCCUGAUGGAGUGCCCGUGUUUCCCCGGGGCCCAGGCCACCCUGGGGAGCCCAGGCUAACUUAGGAUGAGACAUUCACGAGGCCUUGGUCCACUGGGACCCACUCCACCUCUGGAGGGGCUGGGGUCUGAGCUCAGACGUGCCUGUGACCAACCCCAGUAGAAACCUAGACACCAGGGCACAGCGAGUGUCCCCCGGGAGGGGACAGGUGAAGCGGACACCUGGUGUCUCCCAGACCCUGCCCCACGCCCCCUUCCCUCUGUGACACCGCAGCAGUGAGCAGCACGGCACUGCCGAAUUCUAUGCCCCUUCGAGAUCACUGGGCCCCAGGCUCUGGUGGGGAGGCUGCCCAGUGCUGGGCCCUGGCUGGACCGGGGACUGCCCUUUAGAAGACGGCCCACAGAGGUCUUCUUUGGUGACUUGCCUCAUCUGGAGAAAUUAAAAAAUGAAAGGCAGGCGCCAAACGUUUAGGGACAUUUCUAUAAGAUCUCAUUAUAAUUGUUUCCUUUGAACAGGGGGAAGGCAAACUGACCAGGGCUGGGGUCAGGCGUGCUGGGCCCCCUUUGAAAACACAAAGCCUGGCCGGGCGCGGUGGCUCAUGCCUGUAUUCCCAGCACUUUGGGAGGCUGAGGUGGGUGGAUUGCCUGAGCUCAGGAGUUUGAGAUGAACCUGGGCAACAUGGUGAAACCCCGUCUCUACUAAAAAUACAAAAAAUUAGCCAGGUGUGGUGGCAGGCACCUGUAAUCCCAGCUACUCAGGAGGCUGAGGCGGGAGCAUCACUAGAACCCAGGAGGCGAAGGUUGCAGUGAGCCAAGAUCGCACCACUGCACUCCAGCCUGGGCAACAGAGCGAGACUCUGUCUCAAAAAAAAAAAACAAAAACCGAAAACACAAAGAGCAAUGAGAAAGUCCUGCCUCUCCGGUCACUGCAAGGCUGGAGAAGUGGGGACAGGAGGAGCCCUGAGCCCCACCCACUUUGGGCCUGGGUGUGGUACCGGGGGGGCCAACCUUGCACUGAGACCUGACCCAUCCCCAGCAACUGCUCAGCAACCCAGUCCUCGGGUGACCAGCCCCUGCCUCAGCUUGGAGAGCCACCCAUUUCCUCCUCCCUUGCCUGAAACCGGGUAAUGGAGCCUCUUUCAUUUCUCCUGGCCCAGGGGAGGUCCCUAACCCGGCAAUCCCCAGGGCAGGCCAGGCACAGCCACACUGACUGGGGGCAUGGGCUGUGAGAGGAACCUGGGCAACAGGCAAACAGGUGGCUUUGACCCCGACCCUGACCCUGACCCUUGCCCGCGGCUGCGCACCUGCCUCACGGCCUGCUGCAGCUUCUCCAGGCUGAGCUCCUGGGCCUCCCGCAGCAGCGUGCUCUCGUCCAUCUUCAGCAUGGACACACGAUAUUGGCAGAGCUCCACGACCACCACGUCAGGCUGCACCUCCCGGAUGGUCUGCAACAGCCACAGGUCACACCUCGAGAACACAGCCGCUCCCUGCCCCUCAGCACAGCUGACGCCAGCACCAGGGGCCCCAUCCCAGGAGCAGCCAGCCUUGGCGUCACCCCAGGGCUAGCUAACCCCGCUGCUGCAGUGACAGCUCAAUUCUCUAAGCGACGAGAGAGGAAGCUGUGAGGCUUGUUCACUUGUUAAGUGGGAAAACGCACAAGGCCGUCACGGCUCCCAGGCAGGAAGCCCACCUUGCCACUCCCAGGGACCACAGUGUUGAAGCAGGAGGCCUGCGGUGCGCACACACGGGCACACGGGCCCUGCCGGGAGGUCCCUGAGUGCAGGACACAGGAGCUUACACCAACCCGUGUCCGGGAUGUGGCGGGUGGCGGCGCUCACCUUCACAACGUCCCUCUUGCUGUCGUCGCUGAAGUGGGCUGUCCCCACCACGUACACCCUGCUCCCGUCCUCAGCCACCAACUGGGUCACAGUGCGCGGCAGGUUGGGCCGCUGACGCCGCCGCUUCAGCUUCAUCUCCAGGAGCAGGUUGAAGGCGUCCACGUCGGCUGCAACAGCAGCACAGGCCGUUGUGGUGCCGGGCCCACCCCAAGGACGCCGCCGGGCCCGCUGGCAGCCUGGGCUCUAGAACCCUCCUGGGUUCUGAGAACUGAACAGGUGCAGAGCACAAGACUCCUGACGAGCGUCACACUCCACAGGCUUUGCCUGCCCAGUGAUGGGAACACCGGCUACCACCUCUGUGAGCUGCACGGCUUCGAGAAGCCAGGGCCUCAGGAGUCCUGUGCCCCAUACACCCCAUGAGGGCGACCUUGGGGGUUGCUGUGGAUGAGGUUCGGUGUGGGGGACAGUGGGGGCAGGUGCCGCAGGGGGCUCAGCUAGGGGAGGGGCUCUGAGGCGAAAUGGGCCCCCCCACCCCACUCAGGAGGGACAGGCUGAGGCCACAGCAAGGAGGGACUCCCGUGCCGCUCACACUGCUUGUGCUCACGAGCCCCCCAUGCCCAGGGGCCUGCCUGUGCUGCUUGCAGCCCCUCCAAGAGGCUCCACUGCCAGGCAGGGCCCAGGAGCAGCUGCUGUUGGGUGGCACCAGGCCUAGCAGCACCUACCUCAGGUCUCGGCCAGGGCCCCUGCUCACCACAAGCUCCAAGCCCCUGGCAGUGGUUGGCUGCCUCCCCCUCCUCCCUGACUCAACAGCCCAACACCGGGGAACGUGCCAGGACCCUGAGGGACACGUACACAGGUUCUGGGGGUCUCCAGAAAGCACCCUGGGCACCGGCUCUGAAGCCUCUGACGGCACAACAGGUUCCACGUUGGCCUGCAGGUGGAAAGGAGAGUUCAAGUCAGGGUCCAUGCACCCCAGAAAGCCAGGGCUCCGUGGCAACUCCACGGACCACGUACCCUGGAAAGGGACCCGUGGCCGCUGUGUGGACCACACACCCUGAAAAACGAGGGCCCGUGACCGCUCCACGGACCACGUACCCGGGAAAGGGACCCGUGGCCGCUCUGUGUACCACACACCCUGAAAAGCAGGGCCUCCGUAGAGCCUAGGCCCCACACUGUCAGUACCCCUCCUGCUUGGCCAUCACUGGCACGGCUGCCAUCAAGCUGGGCAGACAGGGCCACCAGGCCACCUCAGCCCAGCGCCCCUCUCCCUCGGAGGUGCCUCCUGCCUGACCCUGGAGAACCCUGUGAAGAUCACCUUUGCAGAACAACAGCCAGGGACCGACCCCGAGAGCCCACAAAGCGGGGAAGCCCCCCGCCCCUGUCUCUGUGCAGCCAGCCCAGCCUCCACCUCACCUCGUGCGGUGGCUGCUGCUCCUCCCCGUCCAUGGCUGGGCGGCGGCUUCCUGCACCUGUGGGGAGCCUGAGGAGAGGCAUGAGAGGCGGGGUUUCCACCUGGAGCCCCAGACCUGGCUCAGGACUCACUGCGUAGUGCCCUGUCAGUCUAGAACCAUCUGUUGGGUGGGCCUGGGGGCUCCUUCCCCCAUAUCCCCAAAUGCCUCCUGCCCAUCAAAGGCUGCUGAGGUCCAGGGUCGGUUCAGGUCAGGCCCGGGUGGGGAAAGGCCAGCAGGUCCCCAGACACCCCAGCAUAAACCAAACGCAGACGGGCCCAGGGCGGGUUGCUGGUGCACAGGCCUCACUCAGAACAGGGCCAGAGCUGCCCAACCCUCACUGCGGCACGGCGGGCACACAUAGGAAGGCAGCCCUGGGGUCCACACAUGAUCUCAGGACACAGCAACGCAGCUGCUGACACAUGGCAAGGACCCCAGGGCCUUUGUACAAAAGCCACUUCCCCUUUCAGUAACUACAGCCUGGGCAACAACACCGGCACAGAGUCAGUACAGACGGAGGAAUCCACAAAGCACACAAAUCAACGUGUUUGGACCUAAGACCUUCUCUCCCACUUUAAGAGACAAACAUGGUGUGGAAGGAACCACGGUAGAAACCCGGACAGGCUGGGGCAGCCACACGAGGGGGCUGCCCCGAGGCAUCACAGCUCCCCACAGACUCUCAGAAACCAGGAGCUCAGGCCGGGGGCCCAGGAGCCUGAGGGAAGGAAGAAAACAGCCAGGCGCCUGCAGCACCAGAGGCACGCACCGGCCAAGACCCACAGAGCAUCGGCGAGACCUGCGCGGAGCCCCUCGAGGCGGGGCCAGGGACCAGCAGGCUGUCCUGAGACUGGCCACAGGCCCUGCUGCACCAUGUGGCUCUUCCUGAAUGUUCUCAGCCACGGAAUGCCAGGAGUGACUGUUUACCAAGUUAAUGGCUCAUGCAUGUCCUGGCGGAUGGAUGUGUCACCAGGCAGAAUCAUUAAAAUAUCCCAAACAGGCCAGGCGCGGUGGCUCACACCUGUAAUCCCAGCACUUUGGGGGGCCAAGGUGGAUGGACUGCCUGAGCUCAGGAGUUCGAGACCAGCCUGGCCAACAUAGACCAUCCUGGUGAAACCCCAUCUCUACCAAAAAUACACAAAUUAGCCAGGCGUGGUGGUGCACACCCGUAAUCCCAGCUACUGGGGAGGCUGAGGCAGGAGAAUCACUUUGAACCCGAGAGGCUGAGGUUGCAGUGAGCCGAGAUCCUGUCACUGCACUCCAACCUGGGUGACAGAGGGAGACUCUGUCUCAAGAAAAAAACAAAAGUAAAAAAUAAAAAUGAGCCGUUGGAAACCAUUCUGAGCUGUCUAGUCGUGCAAGGUAUUGUGGUUUUGUCUUGAAGCGUCUGCGUCAGUCAGACACGAGCAUCUGGCGAGGAAACGACGGGGCUUGUAGGAUGUGCUUCAGAGGGGCCACUGCCGGGUUCUGCACUGAUGCCUGCGUGCAUCUGGGGUCAUUUUCAUGUCACUACUGCUGCCCACUUCUCAGAACUCAUAAGAAAAAGGAACAAUGAGCAAUAAGACGCUAUGUCAGGUUCCUUUCCUCUGCAAACCCUGUUGGCACACAGCCACAGCAGGCACAGACCUCGGCCCCAGCCAGGACUCACAGACCCAGCUGGGUCCUGGCCACCCACAUCCAAGUUAAGAUGCCUCCAAGCUUGGGUGUCCUAACCUGUGAACAGGAAGGAGCUCUCUGUGCAGUGUCUAGGAGGGCAG